GACGAACGCUGGCGGCGUGCCUAAUACAUGCAAGUGGGACGCAAGAGAACACACUGUGCUUGCACACCGUGUUUUCCUGAGUCGCGAACGGGUGAGUAACGCGUAGGUAACCUGCCUAUUAGCGGGGGAUAACUAUUGGAAACGAUAGCUAAUACCGCAUAAUAUUAAUUAUUGCGUGAUAAUUGAUUGAAAGAUGCAAGCGCAUCACUAGUAGAUGGACCUGCGUUGUAUUAGCUAGUUGGUAAGGUAAGAGCUUACCAAGGCGACGAUACAUAGCCGACCUGAGAGGGUGAUCGGCCACACUGGGACUGAGACACGGCCCAGACUCCUACGGGAGGCAGCAG
rnacentral:rRNA from 1 species